rnacentral:rRNA from 1 species
AGAGUUUGAUCAUGGCUCAGAACGAACGCUGGCGGCGUGGAUAAGACAUGCAAGUCGAACGCUGAUUUACGGGUAGCAAUAUUCGUAAGUCGGAGUGGCGCAAGGGUGCGUAACACGUGGGCAAUUUGCCGUGAAGUGGGGGAUAAUUCCGCGAAAGCGGGACUAAUACCGGAUGUGACUAUUGGAAGACAUCUUUUGAUAGUUAAAGUUGGGGACCGUAAGGCCUGACGCUUCACGAUGAGCCCGCGGCCUAUCAGCUAGUUGGUGAGGUAACGGCCCACCAAGGCGAAGACGGGUAGCUGGUCUGAGAGGACGACCAGCCACACUGGAACUGAGACACGGUCCAGACACCUACGGGUGGCAGCAGUCGAGAAUUUUUCUCAAUGAGCGCAAGCUUGAAGGAGCGACGCCGCGUGGGGGAUGAAGGGCUUCGGUCUGUAAACCCCUGUCAUUUGCGAACAAACCUUUCUAUUGAAUAGAUAGAGAGCUGAUUGUAGUGAAAGAGGAAGGGACGGCUAACUCUGUGCCAGCAGCCGCGGUAAUACAGAGGUCCCAAGCGUUGUUCGGAUUCACUGGGCGUAAAGGGUGCGUAGGUGGUGAGGAAAGUUGGAUGUGAAAUCUCCGAGCUCAACUCGGAAACGGCAUUCAAAACUACUUUGCUAGAGGGUCGGAAGGGAGACUGGAAUUCUCGGUGUAGCGGUGAAAUGCGUAGAUAUCGAGAGGAACACCAGUGGCGGAAGCGAGUCUCUGGACGACACCUGACACUGAGGCACGAAAGCUAGGGGAGCAAACAGGAUUAGAUACCCUGGUAGUCCUAGCCGUAAACGGUGCACAUUUGCCGUAAGAGGAAUCGACCCCUUUUGUGGCGCAGCUAACGCGUUAAAUGUGCCGCCUGGGAGUACGGUCGCAGAUUAAACUCAAAGGAUUGACGG